rnacentral:rRNA from 1 species
AUGGCGACCGGCGCACGGGUGAGUAACACGUAUCCAACCUGCCGAUGACACGGGGAUAGCCUUUCGAAAGAAAGAUUAAUACCCGAUGGCAUAGUUCUUCCGCAUGGUAGAACUAUUAAAGAAUUUCGGUCAUCGAUGGGGAUGCGUUCCAUUAGCUUGUUGGCGGGGUAACGGCCCACCAAGGCAUCGAUGGAUAGGGGUUCUGAGAGGAAGGUCCCCCACAUUGGAACUGAGACACGGUCCAAACUCCUACGGGAGGCAGCAG